GCAUCUAAAUUUUUUUUAUUUGCAAUAUACAUUAUGUCUCUGGUAUAUGCCGGGUUUUGGUAAACUGUUCUAUGGGGGAUACUUGAUGUUUGGUUUUCGUUUAUGAUGGUUGGGAGAAUUUUUGUGAGUCGGUUUGAUAUUAUUUUGAAUUUUAACUAAACUUUCACCUAAACUGUUAAAAUUAGAUUUGUAGAACUCAGCCGUUAAGCCAUCAUUUCCAGUGACAUUGUGCGGAGAGAAAUCGAAAAUUAAGUGCCAUUGUGCGGAGAGAAAUCGAAAAAUAAGGUAAAGUAGAAGAGUAAGAUGUUUAAAAAAGGUUACAAGAAAGUUUUAUUUAAACGAAGAAAUUUAUAAUAGAAUAACAGAAACAAUUACAGGACUUUAACACAAAAAGCACAUUACGUACGCUAUAGAAAAAACAUUUAAAUAAGGAAAUUAUAAGUGAUAAAAUAAUGUCU